AGGGCAUACGGUGGAUGCCUAGGCGCCAAGAGCCGAAGAAGGACGCGGUAAGCUGCGAAAAGCCACGGGGAACUGCAAGCAAGUAUUGAUCCGUGGAUAUCCGAAUGGGGAAACCCGGCCAUCGUCAUGGAUGGUCACCCGCAAGGGAGGGAACCUGGGGAACUGAAACAUCUAAGUACCCGGAGGAAGAGAAAUCAAACGAGAUGCCCACAGUAGCGGCGAGCGAAGAGGGCAGAGCCCAAACCGAGAAGCUCCGGCUUUUCGGGGUUGAGGACCGGCAGAAUCGAAGUCAGGCCUAGUUGAAUUACCUGGAAAGGUAAGCGAGAGAGGGUAAAAGCCCCGUAGACGAAAGGCAGAGCAGAGAGGCCGAGAUCCAGAGUACCACGAAGCACGAGGAAUUUUGUGGGAAGCAGGGGGGACCACCCUCCAAGGCUAAAAACUACUUGGCGACCGAUAGCGCAUAGUACCGUGAGGGAAAGGUGAAAAGAACCCCGGGAGGGGAGUGAAAUAGUACCUGAAACCGUAUGUCUACAAGCAGUCGAAGCGAAAGCGACGGCGUGCCUAUUGAAGAAUGAACCAACGAGUUAUCUGCACUAGCGAGGUUAAGUGGAAGACACGGAGCCGCAGCGAAAGCGAGUCUUAAGAGGGCGCUAGUUAGUGUAGGUAGACCCGAAACCGCAGUGAUCUACCCAUGUCCAGGUUGAAGCGCAGGUAAAAUUGCGUGGAGGACCGAACCGGUGAGCGUUGAAAAGCUUUCGGAUGAGAUGUGGGUAGGGGUGAAAUUCCAAUCGAACGCGGAGAUAGCUGGUUCUCCCCGAAAUAGCUUUAGGGCUAGCCUGAGGUAGUAAGUAUAGGCGGUAGAGCACUGAUCGGGCUAGGGGCCGUAAAGGUUACCGAACCCUGUCAAACUCCGAAUGGAUAUACUGUAGAGCCUUGGAGUCAGACUACGAGUGAUAAGAUCCGUGGUCAAAAGGGAAACAGCCCAGACCACCAGCUAAGGUCCCCAAUGUCGUACUAAGUGGAAAAGGAUGUGGGGUUUCAUAAACAACCAGGAUGUUGGCUCAGAAGCAGCCACCAUUUAAAGAGUGCGUAAUAGCUCACUGGUCGAGAGACCCUGCGCCGAAGAUUCCCGGGGCUAAAGUACGAAACCGAAGCUGUGGCUGUAUACGUAAAGUAUACGGGGUAGGGGAGCGUUCCCAUAGGGUAGAAGUCGAACUGGAAGGUUCGGUGGACUUGUGGGAAGUGAGAAUGUUGGUAUGAGUAGCGAAAAGAAAGGUGAGAAUCCUUUCCACCGAAAGCAUAAGGAUUCCUGAGCAACGAUCGUCGUCUCAGGGUAAGUCGGGACCUAAUCCGAGGCAGAGAGCGUAGGAGAUGGACAACUGGUUGAUAUUCCAGUACCGGUAGUAAUUGUUUGAGCAAUGGAGUGACACAGAAGGGCAGGCAAGCAUGCGAAUGGAAGAGCAUGUGUAAGCGUGUAGGGUGGUGCAUAGGCAAAUCCGUGCACUGAAAGCCUGAGGCGUGAUGCGGAGUGAGCAGAGAUGCGAGCGAAGUUGUUGACCCCACACUGUCGAGAAAAGCUUCUAGUGAGAGAGCUACCGCCCGUACCGUAAACCGACACAGGUAUGCGGGGAGAGAAUCCUAAGGUGCGCGGGAGAACCCUCGUUAAGGAACUCGGCAAAAUGUACCCGUAACUUCGGGAUAAGGGUAGCCACUGUUGUGAAGUCCCAUGCGGAUGGAGCAUAGAGUGGUCGCAGAGAAGAGGCCCAAGCGACUGUUUACCAUAAACACAGGUGCCUGCUAAAGCGAAAGCUGACGUAUAGGUGCUGACACCUGCCCAGUGCCGGAAGGUUAAGGAAGGAUGUUCGGAUUAGUCCAAAGCAUUCGACUGAAGCCCCGGUGAACGGCGGCCGUAACUAUAACGGUCCUAAGGUAGCGAAAUUCCUUGUCGGGUAAGUUCCGACCCGCACGAAAGGUGUAACGAUUUGGGCACUGUCUCAACGAGGGACCCGGUGAAAUUGAAAUACCUGUGAAGAUGCAGGUUACCCGCGACUGGACAGAAAGACCCCAUGGAGCUUUACUGUAACCUGACAUUGGGUUUUGAUACAUUACGUACAGGAUAGGUGGGAGGCAUGGAAAGCUGGACGCUAGUCUGGCUGGAGCCGACGUUGGGAUACCACCCUUGAUGUAUUGAAAUUCUAACCGCGAGAGUAACGAAAUCCGGGACAGUGUCAGGCGGGCAGUUUGACUGGGGCGGUCGCCUCCGAAAGAGUAACGGAGGCGCCCAAAGGUUCCCUCAGCGCGGC
rnacentral:rRNA from 1 species